rnacentral:rRNA from 1 species
ACGGGAGGCAGCAGUGAGGAAUAUUGGUCAAUGGACGCAAGUCUGAACCAGCCAUGCCGCGUGCAGGAAUAAGGCCCUAUGGGUCGUAAACUGCUUUUGUGGUGGAGCAAUAAGUCGUACGUGUACGGCGAUGAGAGUACAUCACGAAUAAGCAUCGGCUAACUCCGUGCCAGCAGCCGCGGUAAUACGUAGGGAGCAAGCGUUAUCCGGAUUUACUGGGUGUAAAGGGCGUGUAGGCGGGACAUCAAGUCAGAUGUGAAAGCACGAGGCUCAACUUCGUGUCUGCAUUUGAAACUGACGUUCUUGAGUGUUGGAGAGGCUAACGGAACUCCUAGUGUAGCGGUGAAAUGCGUAGAUAUUAGGAAGAACACCAGUGGCGAAGGCGGUUAGCUGGACAAUAACUGACGCUGAGGCGCGAAAGCGUGGGUAGCAAACAGGAUUAGAUACCCUGGUA